rnacentral:rRNA from 1 species
CCUACGGGAGGCAGCAGUAAGGAAUAUUGGUCAAUGGACGCAAGUCUGAACCAGCCAUGCCGCGUGAAGGAUUAAGGCCCUCUGGGUUGUAAACUUCUUUUAUAGGGGACGAAAAAAGGGCAUUCUUGCUCACUUGACGGUACCCUAGGAAUAAGCACCGGCUAACUCCGUGCCAGCAGCCGCGGUAAUACGGAGGGUGCAAGCGUUAUCCGGAUUUACUGGGUUUAAAGGGUGCGUAGGUGGGUUGGUAAGUCAGUGGUGAAAUCUUCGAGCUUAACUCGGAAACUGCCAUUGAUACUAUCAAUCUUGAAUCAUCUAGAGGUAAGCGGAAUAUGUCAUGUAGCGGUGAAAUGCUUAGAUAUGACAUAGAACACCAAUUGCGAAGGCAGCUUACUAUGGAUGCAUUGACACUGAGGCACGAAAGCGUGGGGAUCAAACAGGAUUAGAUACCCUGGUAGUCCACGCCCUAAACGAUGGAUACUCGACAUUUGUGAUAUACAAUAAGUGUCUGAGCGAAAGCAUUAAGUAUCCACCUGGGAAGUACGACGCAAGGUUGAAACUCAAAGAUAGAG